rnacentral:rRNA from 1 species
GACCUCAAAUCAGGUAGGACUACCCGCUGAACUUAAGCAUAUCAAUAAGCGGAGGAAAAGAAACUAACAAGGAUUCCCCUAGUAACUGCGAGUGAAGCGGGAAAAGCUCAAAUUUAAAAUCUGGCAGUCUUUUGGCUGUCCGAGUUGUAAUCUAGAGAAGUGUUAUCCGCGCUGGACCAUGUACAAGUCUCCUGGAAUGGAGCAUCAUAGAGGGUGAGAAUCCCGUCUUUGACAUGGACUUCCAGGGCUUUGUGAUGCGCUCUCAAAGAGUCGAGUUGUUUGGGAAUGCAGCUCAAAAUGGGUGGUAAAUUCCAUCUAAAGCUAAAUAUUGGCGAGAGACCGAUAGCGAACAAGUACCGUGAGGGAAAGAUGAAAAGAACUUUGGAAAGAGAGUUAAACAGUACGUGAAAUUGCUGAAAGGGAAACGCUUGAAGUCAGUCGCGUCGUCCAGGGAUCAACCUUGCUUUUGCUUGGUGCACUUCCUGGUUUGAUGGGUCAGCAUCAAUUUUGACUAUUGGAAAAAGGUUAAGGGAAUGUGGCAUCUUUGGAUGUGUUUAUAGCCCUUGGUCACAUACAAUGGUUGGGAUUGAGGAACUCAGCACGCCGCAAGGCCGGGUUUAAACCACGUACGUGCUAGAUG